rnacentral:rRNA from 1 species
GACGAACGCUGGCGGCGUGCUUAACACAUGCAAGUCGAACGGUGAAGCGCCUUCCUUUUUGGUGGGUGUGGAUGAGUGGCGAACGGGUGAGUAACACGUGAGUAACCUGCCCCCUUCUUCUGGAUAACCGCAUGAAAGUGUGGCUAAUACGGGAUAUUCUGGGUCUGUCGCAUGAUGGGUCUGGGAAAGAUAUUGUUUCGGUGGGGGAUGGGCUCGCGGCCUAUCAGCUUGUUGGUGGGGUGAUGGCCUACCAAGGCGGUGACGGGUAGCCGGCCUGAGAGGGUGGACGGUCCCACUGGGACUGAGACACGGCCCAGACUCCGACGGGAGGCAGCAGGGGGGAAUAUUGCACAAUGGGCGCAAGCCUGAUGCAGCGACGCCGCGUGAGGGAUGGAGGCCUUCGGGUUGUGAACCUCUUUCGCCAGUGAAGCAGGCCUGCCUCGUUUGUGGGUGGGUUGACGGUAGCUGGAGAAGAAGCGCCGGCUAACUACGUG